GACGAACGCUGGCGGCGUGCUUAACACAUGCAAGUCGAACGGUAAGGCCCCUUCGGGGGUACACGAGUGGCGAACGGGUGAGUAACACGUGGGUAAUCUGCCCUGCACUUCGGGAUAAGCCUGGGAAACCGGGUCUAAUACCGGAUAUGAACUCCUGCCGCAUGGUGGGGGUUGGAAAGUUUUUCGGUGCAGGAUGAGCCCGCGGCCUAUCAGCUUGUUGGUGGGGUAAUGGCCUACCAAGGCGACGACGGGUAGCCGGCCUGAGAGGGUGAUCGGCCACACUGGGACUGAGACACGGCCCAGACUCCUACGGGAGGCAGCAGUGGGGAAUAUUGCACAAUGGGCGAAAGCCUGAUGCAGCGACGCCGCGUGGGGGAUGACGGUCUUCGGAUUGUAAACCCCUUUCAGUAGGGACGAAGCGCAAGUGACGUACCUG
rnacentral:rRNA from 1 species